UACGGAGGGAGCUAGCGUUGUUCGGAAUUACUGGGCGUAAAGCGCACGUAGGCGGCUUUGUAAGUUAGAGGUGAAAGCCCGGGGCUCAACUCCGGAACUGCCUUUAAGACUGCAUCGCUUGAAUCCGGGAGAGGUGAGUGGAAUUCCGAGUGUAGAGGUGAAAUUCGUAGAUAUUCGGAAGAACACCAGUGGCGAAGGCGGCUCACUGGCCCGGUACUGACGCUGAGGUGCGAAAGCGUGGGGAGCAAACAGG
rnacentral:rRNA from 1 species